UACGUAGGGGGCAAGCGUUGUCCGGAAUCAUUGGGCGUAAAGCGCGCGUAGGCGGCCCGGUAAGUCCGCUGUAAAAGUCCAGGGCUCAACCCUGGAAUGCCGGUGGAUACUGUCGAGCUAGAGUCCGGAAGGGGCGAGUGGAAUUCCUGGUGUAGCGGUGAAAUGCGCAGAUAUCAGGAGGAACACCAAUGGCGAAGGCAGCUCGCUGGGACGUGACUGACGCUGAGACGCGAAAGCGUGGGGAGCAAACAGG
rnacentral:rRNA from 1 species